rnacentral:rRNA from 1 species
UUGCGCAAUGGCCGGAAGUCUGACGCAGCGACGCCGCGUGAGCGAUGAAGGCCUUCGGGUUGUAAAGCUCUGUCCUUGGGGAAGAAGGUCUUCGGACUUGACGGUACCCAAGAAGAAAGCCCCGGCUAACUACGUGCCAGCAGCCGCGGUAAUACGUAGGGGGCGAGCGUUGUCCGGAAUUACUGGGUGUAAAGGGCGUGUAGGCGGGAGAGCAAGUCAGAUGUGAAAUACCGCAGCUUAACUGCGGGGCUGCAUCUGAAACUGUUUUUCUUGAGUGCUGGAGAGGAAAGCGGAAUUCCUAGUGUAGCGGUGAAAUGCGUAGAUAUUAGGAGGAACACCAGUGGCGAAGGCGGCUUUCUGGACAGUAACUGACGCUGAGGCGCGAAAGCGUGGGUAGCGAACAGGAUUAGAU